UUAAGUUAGAAAGGGCGCACGGUGGAUGCCUUGGCACUAGGAGCCGAAGAAGGACGGGACUAACACCGAUAUGCUUUGGGGAGCUGUACGUAAGCGUUGAUCCAGAGAUUUCCGAAUGGGGGAACCCACUAUCUUUAGUCGGAUAGUAUCCUUACGUGAAUACAUAGCGUGAGGAAGGCAGACCCAGGGAACUGAAACAUCUAAGUACCUGGAGGAAGAGAAAGAAAAAUCGAUUUCCUGAGUAGCGGCGAGCGAAACGGAAAGAGCCCAAACCAAGAAGCUUGCUUCUUGGGGUUGUAGGACACUCUAUACGGAGUUACAAAAGAAAGUUAUAAAUGAAGCGGUCUGGAAAGGCCCGCCAAAGACGGUAACAGCCCGGUAGUUGAAAUGGCUUUCCCUCCAGAGUGGAUCCUGAGUACGGCGGAACACGUGAAAUUCCGUCGGAAUCCGGGAGGACCAUCUCCCAAGGCUAAAUACUCCCUAGUGACCGAUAGUGAACCAGUACCGUGAGGGAAAGGUGAAAAGCACCCCGGAAGGGGAGUGAAACAGUUCCUGAAACCGUGUGCCUACAAGUAGUUAGAGCCCGUUAAUGGGUGAUAGCGUGCCUUUUGUAGAAUGAACCGGCGAGUUACGAUUUGUUGCAAGGUUAAGCGGAAAAAGCGGAGCCGUAGCGAAAGCGAGUCUGAAUAGGGCGCAUAAGUAACAGGUCGUAGACCCGAAACCAGGUGAUCUACCCAUGUCCAGGAUGAAGGUAAGGUAAUACUUACUGGAGGUCCGAACCCACGCACGUUGAAAAGUGCGGGGAUGAGGUGUGGGUAGCGGAGAAAUUCCAAUCGAACUUGGAGAUAGCUGGUUCUCUCCGAAAUAGCUUUAGGGCUAGCCUCGAGGUAAAGAGUCAUGGAGGUAGAGCACUGUUUGGACUAGGGGCCCUUCUCGGGUUACCGAAUUCAGAUAAACUCCGAAUGCCAUGUACUUAUACUCGGGAGUCAGACUGCGAGUGAUAAGAUCCGUAGUCGAAAGGGAAACAGCCCAGACCACCAGUUAAGGUCCCCAAAUAUAUGUUAAGUGGAAAAGGAUGUGGGGUUGCUUAGACAACCAGGAUGUUGGCUUAGAAGCAGCCACCAUUGAAAGAGUGCGUAAUAGCUCACUGGUCGAGUGACCCCGCGCCGAAAAUGUACCGGGGCUAAACAUAUUACCGAAACUGUGGAUGAACCUCUUUAGAGGUUCGUGGUAGGAGAGCGUUCUAAGGGCGGUGAAGUCAGACCGGAAGGACUGGUGGAGCGCUUAGAAGUGAGAAUGCCGGUAUGAGUAGCGAAAGAAGGGUGAGAAUCCCUUCCACCGAAUAUCUAAGGUUUCCUGAGGAAGGCUCGUCCGCUCAGGGUUAGUCGGGACCUAAGCCGAGGCCGAUAGGCGUAGGCGAUGGACAACAGGUAGAGAUUCCUGUACCAGUGCUAAUUGUUUAACCGAUGGGGUGACACAGAAGGAUAGGGAAUCGCACGAAUGGAAAUGUGCGUCCAAGCAGUGAGUGUGAGAAGUAGGCAAAUCCGCUU
rnacentral:rRNA from 1 species